UACGUAGGGGGCAAGCGUUGUCCGGAAUCAUUGGGCGUAAAGAGCGUGUAGGCGGCCUGUUAAGUCUUGCGUGAAAUCUCAAGGCUCAACCUUGAGCUUGCAGUGGGUACGGGCAGACUAGAGUGUGGUAGGGGAGACUGGAAUUCCUGGUGUAGCGGUGAAAUGCGCAGAUAUCAGGAGGAACACCGAUGGCGAAGGCAGGUCUCUGGGCCACUACUGACGCUGAGAAGCGAAAGCAUGGGGAGCGAACAGG
rnacentral:rRNA from 1 species